AGGGAAAUAGCUCAGUGGUAGAGCACAUGCUUAGCAUGCAUGAGGUCCUGGAUUCAAUCCCCAGUAUCCCCA
rnacentral:tRNA from 1 species